rnacentral:rRNA from 1 species
CACGUAGUUGGCCGUGGCUUUCUGAUUAGGUACCGUCAAGACGUGCACAGUUACUUACACAUUUGUUCUUCCCUAAUAACAGAGUUUUACGAUCCGAAGACCUUCAUCACUCACGCGGCGUUGCUCCGUCAGGCUUUCGCCCAUUGCGGAAGAUUCCCUACUGCUGCCUCCCGUAGGAGUCUGGACCGUGUCUCAGUUCCAGUGUGGCCGAUCACCCUCUCAGGUCGGCUACGUAUCGUUGCCUUGGUAAGCCAUUACCCCACCAACUAGCUAAUACGGCGCGGGUCCAUCUAUAAGUGAUAGCAAAACCAUCUUUCACUUUAGAACCAUGCGGUUCUAAAUAUUAUCCGGCAUUAGCCCCGGUUUCCCGGAGUUAUUCCAGUCUUAUAGGUAGGUUACCCACGUGUUACUCACCCGUCCGCCGCUAACGUCAAAGGAGCAAGCUCCUUAUCUGUUCGCUCGACUUGCAUGUAUUAGGCACGCCGCCAGCGUUCAUCCUGAGCCAGGAUCAAACUCU